CCGGAGGCAGUCCUUGUUCUAGUCUUUGGAAGGAAGAGAGUGGCAAUCGCCAUUUUGUUCACUCUUGGACAGUGUGCUGAGAGCAGAGCUGGCUGAGAGACCAUUUAUUUUGUUUAUUGAGCCUCAGAUUAUAGACCAGGCAAGACAGCGACAGGACUGGAGCACUACUACCACUGCACAGAAGAACUUCAGACCAAAGCUAGGAGAACCAAAUGAUGACACCUACAGAUAUUUCAUUAGGGUUACCAUAACUUUGGGGUGAUGGCAGGGGAAACAGAAAAGCCUCCUAAGAGCACUCUCUGCCACAUCCCUCUUGGAACGGGUUCUUUUUCCUACGGAAUGCCCCGCUUAUUUGGACUUUCUAUACCACUUUUUGCCAAUAAGGCAAUAAUGAGGUGGCUUAAAAACAACCACCAAUAUAAACAAGUUAAUAAAAUAGCCCCUAAAAAUAUAAAAUUCAUAAAAUGAGUUCCAGAGAACAAGCUGCCAAACCAAUUCGAGAGGUGUACAGAGGACUAAAACAAUUUCUCCUCUUCAUUAUAUAAAAAGCUUGGCACUAUAAACAUUUGCUUCUGAAAAAUCAGCAAGGAAGAAGCAUUGCAAGUAUUCUGAGAAAUGGCUGUGAAGGCCCCGGCUCCUAGUGGCUGCCAAAGAGGAGGAACGGAGGAGGGCCUUGGCUCAUGGGCUUACCUGGUGCCAUUCUGCUGUGCUGGUGGGAUCACACUGUAAUAGACGGGCAUCCCUCCAGCUUGGAGUCCUCCUUGAACAGACUGGUUCGCUGGUACCAGCACAGGCUGCUGAAACGGCUGUUGGACCACGCCUUGAGACUCAUUAGCUACCGGGACCUGCUCAAAACAUUAAAAGGGAGUGGGGAGAGGAAAGACAACUUAUUAUAUAUAUAGAAAAGAUGAAAACCUUGGUGAAAGCGGGUAUUGAGUGUAGACACUGACAAUGGAGAAACAUUAAGGCUCUCCACUUGCAUGUUCAUAUCUGUGUAAUCUUCACCGCAUAUAAAAUCUCAAGAUUUGGUUUUUAAUGCAAAGUCUUUAAAAAUCAUAGAGAGCUCAUUUUAGCUAGAAGAAAGUAUCUAGACCUCGUGGUUGAGUAAAGAGAUUUCCCACUUGACAGAAAAGUCUCCAUUGCUUAAAAACCAGAGGAUCUCUUAUGGAGGGAGCACUUUUAUAUUUAGCACAACAUCCUCUACGGUCUUUAAUACUUCCUCUAGCAUUGCUUCAUCUCCUCCUACUCCCUUGUCCCAAAGCUCCAAGAAUCCCAAUCCUCUUGCAUUCCAUAAUAUUAAGACAAGUUUCAAAGCUUGCCAAACCAGAAUGUAUGAAAAACAAGCAAAUCUAUGUCUAGUUAUCAAUACUGAAUAUAUCCCAAUCACUGCAUGAACUGUCAAUGUAUUCUAUUUGCUGCAUCUUGCUGCCAUAGAAAUGGUGGUGAUAGUGAGAUAAUGGGCGGGAUGAUUUGGUGCUGGGUGCUAUCAAUAUGCUGAUGACACCCAGAUCCACUUCUCCAUGCUGACCUCAUCAGGAAAUGGCAUGUCUUCCCUAAAUGCCUGCCUGGAGGCAAUAAUGGGCUGUAUGAGGGAUAACAAACUGAAGUUGAAUCCAAAUAAGAUGGAGGUACUGACUGAGGGGGGACAGGACCCAAGAUAUGGUUGGGUUCAUCUACAGUUGGUACAGAAUGUACAGAAUACAGCCAGAUUGGUCUCUGGGACAACACGAAGGGACCACAUAACACCAGUUUUGAAAGAACUGCACUGGCUGCCAAUAUGUUUUGGGGUGAAAUACAAAGUGCUGGUUCUUACCUAUAAAGCCCUUAAUGGUUUAGGUCCAGGCUAUUUAAGAGAGCGCCUCUUUUGUCAUAAACCCUGGCGCCUGUUAUGAUUCUCUGGAGAGGUCCGGUUACGGAUGCCACCGGCUCAUUUUGUGGUGACCCAUGAUCGGGCUUUCUCUGUGGCUGCCCCAGGGCUUUAGAAUAUGCCCCCUACUGAAAUAAGAGCGUCUCCUUCUAUGUUUGUUUUCAGGAAGAACCUCAAGACUCUCUUGUUCUUGCAGGCUUUUAAUUAGAAUUAAAUUUAAUAAUUUUAAAACUUGUUUUAAUGUUUAUUUUAUAUUGUCUUUUUAUGUAUUUUAAUUUGUACCUUUUUAAUAUUUUAAAUUUUGUAUACAGCUUAGAGAUGUCCAUAUCAAGCGGUAUAGAAAUAUGAUAGAUAGAUAAAUAAUAUAAAAUAAAUAAAAUAAAAUAAAACAAUUUAGACUGCUAAUAUAACAACUGUUCCAUCAGUGUGUAACUCAAAUAUCGGCAUUCUCUAUUUGUAAAAAACUUUUGUAUUGUGGAGCCCUUUGUGUACAGUGUUUAAACAAAUACAUGAAUUGAACCAAAUUGUUAGAUUUUCUGUAGUUAGUCAAAUUAAGACAGGAGAUUAUUUCUAAUAGAAUAAUUGUUUGAUAGGUAUACUUCAUAUAUGUAUAUAAGGGUAAUUACAUAGAUUUAUUUGGUUGCUAUUUGUUAAACAAUUGUUAAAUGUCUCUGGGCUUUGGCUGGUCUGAGACUGAAAUAAAGAACUGUUGGUUGAUUUUA